rnacentral:rRNA from 1 species
UACGGAGGGGGGCUAGCGUUGUUCGGAAUUACUGGGCGUAAAGCGCGCGUAGGCGGACCUGCAAGUCGGGGGUGAAAGCCCGAGGCUCAACCUCGGAACUGCCUUCGAUACUGCGGGUCUCGAGUCCGGGAGAGGUGAGUGGAAUUCCUAGUGUAGAGGUGAAAUUCGUAGAUAUUAGGAAGAACACCAGUGGCGAAGGCGGCU